rnacentral:rRNA from 1 species
CCUACGGGUGGCUGCAGUUAGGAAUAUUGGUCAAUGGGCGCGAGCCUGAACCAGCCAAGUCGCGUGAAGGAUGACGGUCCUAUGGAUUGUAAACUUCUUUUGUGCAGGAAUAAAGUGAGGAACGUGUUCCUUUUUGUAUGUACUGUACGAAUAAGCAUCGGCUAACUCCGUGCCAGCAGCCGCGGUAAUACGGAGGAUGCGAGCGUUAUCGGGUUUUAUUGGGUUUAAAGGGUGCGGAGACGGGCUUGGAGAAAGUUUGCAGCUUAACUGUAAAAUUGCCAUUGAAACUGUUAGUCUUGAGUGCAAAUGAGGUAGGCGGAAUGUGUUGUGUAGCGGUGAAAUGCUUAGAUAUAACACAGAACUCCGAUUGCGAAGGCAGCUUACUGGGAUGCAACUGACGCUGAUGCACGAAAGCGUGGGUAUCAAACAGGAUUAGAUACCCCGGUAGUC